AAUGAACGCUGGCGGCAGGCCUAACACAUGCAAGUCGAGCGGAGCGGCGGACGGGCGAGUAAUGCCUAGGAAUCUGCCUGGUAGUGGGGGAUAACGUCCGGAAACGGGCGCUAAUACAGCAUACUAUCAGAUGAGCCUAGGUCGGCUUACCUAGUUGGUGGGGUAAAGGCCUACCAAGGCGACGAUCCGUAACUGGUCUGAGAGGAUGAGCAGUCACACUGGAACUGAGUCACGGUCCAGACUCCUGCGGUAGGCAGCAGUGGGGAGUAUUGGACAAUGGGCGAAAGCCUAAUCCAUCCAUCCCGCGUGUGUUAAAAAGGUCUUCGGAUUGUGAAGCACAUAAAGUUUUCAGACGUGACCAACAGAAUAAGCACCGGCUAACUUCGUGCCAGCAGCCGCGGUAAUAC
rnacentral:rRNA from 1 species